CGUCGGCGGGGGCCUCGGGAA
rnacentral:snRNA from 1 species